CUUUCUACCAAACGGACGGGCGUUCGGUGGUUUCAGCACGAAUUUAUGAUGUUAUGGAGGUCUCAGCGGUGUUCGCCUACUCGAGUGUCCGAUUUUAGUUCCAGACACUCGAUGGCAAAUCACCGCUGUUCGUGCGUUAAGAUGGCCGCGAACACGUGCAAAGUCCCGAAAUGGCGGCCACCUAGGAUCUACAACAAAGGAUUCGUGCAUUUCUC